rnacentral:rRNA from 1 species
GACGAACGCUGGCGGCGUGCUUAACACAUGCAAGUCGAACGGAAAGGCCCUGCUUGCAGGGUACUCGAGUGGCGAACGGGUGAGUAACACGUGGGUGAUCUGCCCUGCACUUCGGGAUAAGCCUGGGAAACUGGGUCUAAUACCGGAUAGGAGCCAUUUUUAGUGUGAUGGUUGGAAAGUUUUUUCGGUGUAGGGUGAGCUCGCGGCCUAUCAGCUUGUUGGUGGGGUAAUGGCCUACCAAGGCGGCGACGGGUAGCCGGCCUGAGAGGGUGGACGGCCACAUUGGGACUGAGAUACGGCCCAGACUCCUACGGGAGGCAGCAGUGGGGAAGAUUGCACAAUGGGCGCAAGCCUGAUGCAGCGACGCCGCGUGGGGGAUGACGGCCUUCGGGUUGUAAACUCCUUUCGCUAGGGACGAAGCUUUUUGUGACGGUACCUAGAUAAGAAGCACCGGCUAACUACGUG